GACGAACCGUGCGAACGUUGUUCGGAAUCACUGGGCUUAAAGGGCGCGUAGGCGGGUUCUCAAGUCUGGUGUGAAAGCCCACGGCUCAACCGUGGAAGCGCUUCGGAUACUGGGGGCCUCGAGGGAGGUAGGGGCGUGCGGAACUUCCGGUGGAGCGGUGAAAUGCGUAGAUAUCGGAAGGAACACCGGUGGCGAAAGCGGCGCGCUGGACCUCUUCUGACGCUGAGGCGCGAAAGCCAGGGGAGCAAACGGG
rnacentral:rRNA from 1 species